CAUCGGACAGCCUUUCACAGCUUUUCGUUGUCAUGUUGCGUGUAACCUCGGCGCACUGUGUGGCACAGGGUCUCAGAGCGCCGCGCUGGGUUUGCGGGCUGCCGCGUCCUAUCGCGAGAAGAGGCAGCAACGCCGGUGGCAGUGGAGUGCGGCUGCAUGUAGCGUGCUCGUACACAACAAGCUGGAGGACGUCCAUGAGUGGUGCACACGGCAGCAGCAGCAGCAGCAGCAAUGCACGCGACGACGACCACAAUCAAACGAAGGAGGAUGAAGAGGAUCAGAUGCUGGAAGACGAGGAAUUCGCCGCCCUUCGCGACGCUGACGGCGACGAGCACAUGCCCGUCGCUCACCGCCUCGCACACAAGGCCGACGCUCUCGAUGCCGAGCUGCGGCGCAUCCGGUACUGCCUGUGCGACCGGGCUCAAUGGCUCGUGGACACUGCCCCGGCGACCUUCUCCGGUCGUCCGACUCGAAUGGACAAGGUGGUGCAGCUCUUGAAGGCGGCAGGCAACCAGCAGCAAAGCGAUGGCGCUGCGGCAAAGUCGUCACGCAAGGACACCUCUGCAGCGACGGUGGAGGCGGCACUGCGCGCCUCUCCGUACGCCGCAUGGUGUGGCACUUCAGACCCUGUGCUGCGUUUCUUGAGCCUUCGGGUGCUCUGGCCGCGCGCCAGGCAAGCAGGCCGCUGCGCGUCCCAUGGCGAGGCUCCGUCACACGGCACCGAUCUUGCCACCCUUAACGCCAACCUCGACCACCUCCGUCGCAGGCGUGCACUGCAUCGGUUGAACUACUACAGUCGACUGAAUCUCACCCCGAAGCGCCACAUCUGGAUCUCGUUGUAUCAAAUCUUGUGGAACAGCGUCGUCUCCGCGCAGGACGCCGUCGGGUGUGUCGUCUUCGGCACUCUUCGCGGCAUAAAGGACCACGGCACGGUGCAAGGGGCGUGCAGAGGUGCCGCCAUUGGUCUCGUCAAGGCGGUUGAGUUCCUGUGCUACGGCUGGGUCGUGUCACCACUGCUUCACCUUAGCCGAGGCCUCUGCAACACCCUCUACGGACCAGUGAGCAGCAUCACCGGGAAGUACAUGUUUGACGCCCUCAGCGGCCGGUGGAUGCGGUGCACCGUGGCUGACUCGCGCCUCUUUCGCCACGAGCUGCAGCUCGAGAAGCGCGUGCUGCGCACUAUCGGGCGCGCCGAAUUCCGCCGCAAGCGGAUAAAAACGCAGCAUAAGUGGGCCGACCGCAUGGCUUCCAUGGGCUUCAGCGUGGAUAUGAUGACGGACAAGUUUAUGCCAAAGGGGACCUGUGGUCCGCAGGGGGCGUCGGCAGAUAAAGAAGGUCUCGACGGCAGCAACCAGAUGCGCAAUCCGUACGAGGUGCUGCAGGUGCGCCGCACCGCCAGCACGCAGGAGAUCAAGAAGCAGUACAAGAAGCUCGCCAUGGUGUUCCACCCCGACGUCGUGCAGAGCCACCGCAGUGUUGGCGGGCCACUGUCACCAGAGGAGAAGGCCGAGGCUCAGCACAAGUUCGAGGAGAUCUCAAGCGCCUACCAAGUUCUGUCGAACCCGGAGAAGCGCAAGGCCUACGACCUUGGCGGCGUGCAAGCUGUCCGCCUGCACGAGAGCAAGUUUGGCAAAUUCAUGUCUCGCACGCCGUCGGAGAUAGUGCAGAGCGUGUUUGGCGGAGAGGGUUUCCGCCGCGUGCUGGUUGGCGAGCUACUCCGGUCGCACUGGGCGCUGCGCAACGAGGCGCAGGUGAGCGUGUCCAUUCACGAGCUGGAGGAGCUGCAGUGCAUUCGGGUGCGGCAGGUGGCCGUGGAGCUGGCUGCCAUCGCUGACGUGCACGCGCAGCGGCCGACGACGCCGUACUACAGAGGAGCGUCCGCGUCGACGGGUGCCGGUGGUGCGGAGGGCAGUCGUCGCCGCGCCACUUACUCUCACCCCGCCUCUAGCAGCAGCCUGCCAGACUAUUUGAAGUCGGGUAAGGUUCGUAGCAGCUCCGCCGCUGCAACAGGUUGUCGCCGGAGCACGAACGGCGCGGGCGCAUCCGCCGGCAUCCGCAUCGAUCGUGAGGUGCACAACUCGAUCAUGGAAGAGCUUGGCGGCGGUGGUGGUGCGCCGGGGAGCGGGGGCAGAGCAGCGCCCCACGGGGCGGCUUCGGCAUCGUCGUCAUCCCCGUUCGUGCUGCACCCCGGAAGCAACGAGUACAACUGCUUUUCGCGCGACUUUGAGGAGCGCUGUGACAGGUUUGUGCGGUACAUGGCCGAGGCAUGCUUUGGCAAGCCGCUCCUCUACGAGGUGGGGGAGGCCUACGUUGUCGGAGCGCAGCGCUUCCUCGGCAUCCGCCCUUUCUACGCACCGAAGAUGCUUGUCACGCGCAAGAUCUUCGCAGGCAUGGAUCGCAUCUACGAGGCCUUCUCGGACAAGACGCGGCUCACUUCUGAGGGUGUGUCGCGUAAGUUGAUGGCGGAGUACUUCAACAUGGAGUACGACGCAGUCGUCGCGGACAUCCACGGCGUGCUGCGCUACGCGGUGCAGAUGGUGCUGCAGGACGUCGUCGAGUCGGACGAGGUGCGCCGCAAGCGGUGCUACGCUGUCUGGUACCUGGGAGAAAAGAUGAUGACAGUCGGUGAGCGCUGGACGACGCGCAUCGCGAACGACGAGGACCUGGUCGCGUACAUCCAGCAAGCGGCGACAUCGGUGGCGACAACGAGCAAGCCGCCGGCGUUUUAGCGGAGUGUGCUUGCAUUUGUACUGCACCACACCACGUCGUCGAGGAGGGGAGAGCCUCCUGGUUGGGUAAACGUCCAUGGGAGUCCAUGUCGCAGAGGAGUGGCAACGGGGCAGGUGAGCUGAAGCUGCCUCGCCACCCCACCCCACACACAUCCCCUCCCCCUCCCUGCCCCCGCCAUCCGCAGUGUUCACGAGUAGAAAAAAGCGACUCAUGAGCGGAGGCAAAGACGACAGCGAAAUAACAACAUAUACAUAUAUAUACAUAUACAUGCCACGUAGGUACAUCAUCAUCACACAGUGCGCGUAUGAGAAACGAAAACGAAAACAAAAUUUCAAAAAAAAAAGCUUUCAAAAAAGAAAACGGAGAAAGGCACGGAGAGAGGGAGAGCGAGAAGGACACAGCAGGUGGACAUCACAGGAGGCGAAGGUUGCCGCAGAGAAAAGCGGUGGGUGGUGGAUGGCUGGUUGCUUCCAAUGUUGCAUCCUUGAGUCACCCAAUACUCUGGUAUCGCUGCUCUCUUGCGGAGAGUCGUGCCUCUUCUCGGGUGUAUGAAGUGGUUCUUGAUUCGUGCAGCGUAAGGCCUUCCUUUCUCUCUCCCAUGCAGCCUGAGCUAGAGCAUGAAGCUCACGCAGCACCAUGUGAGAGGCAUGCACCUUGGCAGCCGCCCACUUCCCCCGCUCCCCAAGCUCUUCCCUUAUCUUCACAUGAAGCAGAGUCCAGUAAUAGGACCAUGUACCAACGGUGAGAAGGAGCGGGGGCGACUCCCCUGCACUCCUGUUGUUCUUCCUCGCACGUCACUGCCGUCUCUGUGUGCUGCCCCUCCUUCUAUCCCUUUACCUCUUCUGUUCAUGUGCACAUACGCGCAUGCACGCACAUGUGCAUGAUCGUUCUACACGCAAAUGCAUGUAUCGACCCCCCCCACACACACACACACACUCGUCUGAGGGUGGAAAG
rnacentral:misc_RNA from 1 species